AACUCUGGUAUUGAUUGGUGCUUGCAUCAUGAUUUACAUUUGAGUGAGUGGCGAACUGGUGAGUAACACGUGGGAAACCUGCCCAGAAGCGGGGGAUAACACCUGGAAACAGAUGCUAAUACCGCAUAACAACUUGGACCGCAUGGUCCGAGCUUGAAAGAUGGCUUCGGCUAUCACUUUUGGAUGGUCCCGCGGCGUAUUAGCUAGAUGGUGGGGUAACGGCUCACCAUGGCAAUGAUACGUAGCCGACCUGAGAGGGUAAUCGGCCACAUUGGGACUGAGACACGGCCCAAACUCCUACGGGAGGCAGCAGUAGGGAAUCUUCCACAAUGGACGAAAGUCUGAUGGAGCAACGCCGCGUGAGUGAAGAAGGGUUUCGGCUCGUAAAACUCUGUUGUUAAAGAAGAACAUAUCUGAGAGUAACUGUUCAGGUAUUGACGGUAUUUAACCAGAAAGCCACGGCUAACUACGUGCCAGCAGCCGCGGUAAUACGUAGGUGGCAAGCGUUGUCCGGAUUUAUUGGGCGUAAAGCGAGCGCAGGCGGUUUUUUAAGUCUGAUGUGAAAGCCUUCGGCUCAACCGAAGAAGUGCAUCGGAAACUGGGAAACUUGAGUGCAGAAGAGGACAGUGGAACUCCAUGUGUAGCGGUGAAAUGCGUAGAUAUAUGGAAGAACACCAGUGGCGAAGGCGGCUGUCUGGUCUGUAACUGACGCUGAGGCUCGAAAGUAUGGGUAGCAAACAGGAUUAGAUACCCUGGUAGUCCAUACCGUAAACGAUGAAUGCUAAGUGUUGGAGGGUUUCCGCCCUUCAGUGCUGCAGCUAACGCAUUAAGCAUUCCGCCUGGGGAGUACGGCCGCAAGGCUGAAACUCAAAGGAAUUGACGGGGGCCCGCACAAGCGGUGGAGCAUGUGGUUUAAUUCGAAGCUACGCGAAGAACCUUACCAGGUCUUGACAUACUAUGCAAAUCUAAGAGAUUAGACGUUCCCUUCGGGGACAUGGAUACAGGUGGUGCAUGGUUGUCGUCAGCUCGUGUCGUGAGAUGUUGGGUUAAGUCCCGCAACGAGCGCAACCCUUAUUAUCAGUUGCCAGCAUUAAGUUGGGCACUCUGGUGAGACUGCCGUGA
rnacentral:rRNA from 1 species